rnacentral:ribozyme from 1 species
UGCCCAGCAACUAUCCCUACCUCCUCGCGGUACUGGCCGGGGUACGAGUAACCUUAGGGAAGAUCGGGUAACCAACCCCCGGUGGGAACUUUGGUCGUAUGCUGACAGGGAAGG